rnacentral:lncRNA from 1 species
CAACAGUUGCACCGUUCCAUUUCAUUGUUUAUAAAAUUAAAACCCGAUGGCACUUUCCCCCCAUAAUUUUCCAUUAAUCAUCUUCUUCUCAUAGCUUUUCCCCAAAUUUAUUUUAGAUUUUCAACGCCAUUACUAUUCCCUCCAUCUAUUUUGCGGCUAAAUCCUUAGCGAAUCUAUCUCUGCCGAAGUCGAAUUGUAAGUUCAGUUCUAUUUACAUAGCAGAAAACUUUCAUACAUUUACAAACUUGGUUUCUCUUAUUAGCGUUUAAUUGAGUUUGGAUAUUACGCCCUUAUUUUUCUAUGUUCCUUUGUUGCCUUUGAUUUUCUGAUGUUAUUUAUAGAAUUUGUAAAUGUAACUUAUAGAUUAUACUCUAUAAUCUUAAUUGGACGUGAUCAAUGCCAUGGUUUAAUGUUAUUUUGAUGUUUAAGUGUUAUUCUAAUCACUUCUUCAACAAAUAAGAAACACCUAAAGAGAGAAGUAUGGAACAACUACUAAGAAAGAAAAAACGAAAAGACAGACAGUAGUGUGUGGUUGCGCCAUUUUAUUGGGUGAAGGAUCUUACCCGUCGGAAUACCAAAUUUGGCUGGCUUAUUAGAGGGCAACCUUUAUUGCUCACUGUUGGUCUCAUCAAGGCAGUAUCUUUGGUCUUUUGUAGCCAAAAUUUCGAAAGAAACUUUUGGCAAGUGAUAAUUAUAUUAUUUUUUCUUUUAUGGUUGAAUGUCUCUUAAUCCUUACAUAUUUGGUAAGAGAUCUAUUACGAAUAUCUCUUAAUCCUUAUUCGUAAUAGAUCUCUUACUUUUUGUUCUUUGGGUUAUAACUUUUCAAGAGAAUUCGAACAUGAUGUUAACUUCGUAUCACCAUCACUUGGAACCAUCACAUAUAGUAAUUGGAUCCUUCACCAAGAUUAUAUGCUUCUAAUAGAAAGAUAUUGGUACAUGUAUCUAUUAUACUUUUUUGUGAGUCAAUUAAUUAUUUUCUUUGAAAAUAGGUUUUCCAAAAUAGUUUCAGUAUUAUAAUUUGGCAGAAUGGCCUAAAUGACACCUAUAUUUGUCCCACUUUGUCAUGCCGGUCCCCAAACUUAACAAUUUGUUAUCCAGAUACUUUAACUUGAUCAAAGCCUAUUAUUUAAAUCCCUCUGACCGUUGACCAAGCACAUGUGGCAAAAUAAUGGUUGAGCUGAACAAAGUGAGUGUAAAUCACGCUGAGGGUGAAUAUGAACAUUUUGAACCAAAAAUUAUUAAAAUAAGAAGAAAUAAGAAUUAAUAAUAAUUGUAGCAAAAAUCUGAGGCUGUGGUGAUAAUUUUUUCUCCUGUCUCCGAGCAACCGAUGUUUGCAGCCAUGGCAGUGUCUCCAAUCUCUUGCCUUGUCUUUAAUAUUAUAGAUCCAAGUCGCCCCACCAUUUUUAAAGAGCUCACCAACCUGUUUUCUAACCAGUAUUUUCUCUACUUUAUUUUAUUUUUUAAAAUAUGCAAAUUUUGGCUUACACAUAGUGUGUGGAUGCUGACCAAUUUCCAAAUGUGCCUCUCUGGGCACCUACAGGCUCUUUUCCUCCAUUUUCAAAAGAAUAAGGAGUCGCGGAUUUGCAGUUGUGUUCUUUCCCUACUACCUUAUUUGGUAUUUAGUGAAAAAAGGAUUAUGCUGGGGCACAUAAAUCUACCAACGUGACAAAAAGACAAAAAUUAAAUUAUAUAAUUACUGCCCUCUCUGUUCCGCCAUUGAUUUCUUAGAUUUGAGCUCCUCUCCAUUCUGCCAUUAAUUUUCCUCGAUCUGAGCCCCUCUCUGUUCCGUCAUUGAUUUUCCUUCAUUUUCAAAAAAAAAAAACCUAGCAGCCCAGCAAAAGCAGAAGCAGACAGGAUUUAAGUGGGCUUUGGACAUAAAAAUCCUGGCAAAGAUGACGGAGAAGAGAGGAGAGACAGAAGUGGUUCAUACUUUCUAAGCCCUAACUAAGCAGAUAAGUGUAAAAUGAGGGGAAAUUUUGAGUUUGAGGGGAUAAUAAUCAUUUCUUGUUUUAUUUUCCUAUGUGGCCAUAAUGACUUGGAGCCUACGUGGUUUAAUUUUCUUGACGUGACGUCCUACGUGUAGGAGAUUGUAUUACAUGCACUGACGGCUUCGUGUCAUAAGCGUUUAUUAUACAUGGUCUGAAGGAAUGUAAGUAUUUAAUUGGCAAAUUGUUAAGUUUGAGGACCGGCAUGACAAAGUGGGACAAAUAUA